ACCCUAUAGUGUCCAUAGAGCUCCUUCCCUAUGGAGACAUCAGUCUCUCUCGCUAGACCUGAUGCCCGCACCUAGCUCACUAGGGCCGGGUCCUGCAUCCCGACCCCGGGGCGGCGGAGAGCAUUACGCCGGGUCUCCCCUCUCAUAUUCUCGGUCCAUACGCCAUCCAACAUGCUAUUCUUGUCUCCAAUAGCCUUACUUUGUCCAUAGGGUUGCCGUGGUGCGGAGCCAUGGGUAGGGAUGCUGGACUCACUCCCCUACAUGCUCCCCCACUCAAACGGAUCGAUGACCUCAUCGAUCGUGCUGCACCAUCUCUGGGGUUCUCAUCUUCACUCUUCCUUGUUCUCAGCUUUCCAAUGAAAUAGCUUUGUGCAUCUGCUUCAGGAAAACUGAUGUGAAAAUUUGUGUUGUGUUUUUGUAUUUGUUUUCUUCUUCUUCUUUAUUCUUCUUUUUGGGACCAACCUUCUUCCACUCUGGAACGUAUGUCAUCCAUCCCACCCCUCAUAGAUCUUCUUACAUUCAGGGCCAUCCUUUAUACAAUGUCCCCUUCUCUUAUUACUCCAUAUUAUCAUUAUCUUACCUGAUCCCCCACCUUCAUACAUAGAGGAUUAUACUUUAUAUUAAUACAUUCUCUAUAUUUACACCAUUUCACCCCCUUUUAGCCAGGUAGGAUCCCCAUGUGUACUCUCCCCCACUCAAACAAUCGACGUCCCUGUCGAUUAGGGUAGUGUGCUGGGAGUAUCUGGUACAUUUCUCUUUUGCCUGGUUGUCUCUUGGAGUGGUUAUAUGCGUCAUGCAACUUCAUGGCAUUAUUAUAUGUACCUCGCAAAACACAACCAACAACACCCAAAGUAGCCACAAGAUAGAAAGAAAAUGUGAUAAAAUUGGUGAUUCCUCUUCUUAAUGUAUAUUCAUAUUUCAUUAUACUAGCAACAUUAAGCACAAAUGAAAUAACACAUCAAGGUAAAGAGUGAUACAACUUACACAUAUUGUUUUCUUACCCCUUUGCAUACAACACAGCACUCAUCUCGAUUCCCUUUUAUUUGAGCUUGUCCCUCAGGAUAUGCCAUUAUUUGACCAUCUUAUCAAUUUGCCUUCGAUCUAAUUUUGAUGGACUACAACUUUCUCUUUUAGAGUCAUUGCUGAUUUGUAGCUGUCUUUCUAUGCAUUAUGCCUAUUAAAACAAGGAACCAUAGUGCAUCCGAUUCGUUUCCCAUUUUGAUGUUCGCAUUUUGCUCUUUUCUCUUGUCACCUCGCUUGCCACAGCUUUAUCUCACCUUAUGCUUUGGUAGCCUCAUGCGGUAUUGGUGCACAAGCUAUUUAUAAAAUUAAUUUUGUUUUCAUGGCUAUUACCCCCUUUAUGCAAGCUUACUUGCUAAGGCCUAUAGCACUCCAUGAAAAUAUAAGAAAACAUUGUUUGAUUGUGACACCUCAAGCCCUCUUGGCUUUGCCUCAAGCCUUCUCCGCUUACCACGCAUGAUCAACACCUGACUUCUUUUGGUCGUCUCACUUUUGCUCAUAUGGUCUCAUGGGGAAGUGUUUCGCAUGUUACUCUUGACUAAAUAGUCCUGCAAGCACAAACAAAAGCACAAGUAUCUAAGCCCACGGCCUGAAAUAUCAGUUACGCCCUGAGAUUCCUUCUGCCGAGCUUAAUUCCUUCUCCGCAUUGCUCACGGCUUGAAAUAUCAGCUGCAGACUGAUAUUCCUUCCGCCGAGCUUAACUCUUUCUCAACAUUGCUCACGGCCUGAAAUAUCAGCUGUAGUCUGGUAUUCCUUCCGCCGAGCAUAAACACAUCUCAAUCAAGCACUUGCGAGUAGCUUCCAACUCAUUUGGCAAGCUCACCAAGGUAUGCACCAUGGUCUCAAGGUUCUUAAUCUUUUCUUUAUCUCCUGCCUCACCACCCGUAGUGGCCGGCACACGACCUCGACCCUCGUCUCCUACCUCACCACCCGUAGUGGCCCAGGUGAGACGCAGGGUUUCAAUAAAAUGAUUCAAUUCAGAAAGCAUGGCCUGCAUAUCCACCGCUUUCUCCUCUAGCGCCUCAAUGCGCUCUUUGGCCUCUUGCCAUUCAGGAACAUUCAAUUCAGAAAGCAUGGCCUGUAUAUCCACCGCUUUCUCCUCUAGCGCCGCAAUGCGCUCUUUGGCCUCUUGCCAUUCAGGACCAAUUGUUGGCUCACCAACAAUUACCUUCUUUUCUAUAAAAGCAGCGAGCUCCUCCACACAACAAUCACAUUACCAACACCCGACUUAUUCGGUGUUCUGCGCACAUGUGGGCAGCUCCCAACUCUUUGGUAAGCUCUCCCCACAACAAUCACAUUUCCAACAACCGACUCACAUAGAAAACCCUAGCAUGGAGUAAUCAUUUCUGCAUCUAGGGCGAACUUUUUGCCCCCACUGCUUCUGACUCAGCGCCUCAUGCGCCUUAAGUAGCUUGCUCGAGUCUGUUCCAAGCACAUGCAUCCCCCUGCCGGGUUCAAGUCAUUGCAUCUUUGCCUCAACUGCGCAUACUGCCCCUUUUCUCUAGGCAUGCUAUGCAUUCCCAUUGAGAUUCGACGAUAGCUUGCAUUUCAGUAUCCAUUAUGCCGCUUGAUAGCAUCCCUUACAACUGCGCUCGAAGGAGCAUACUACUCGGGGUGACAUGAUGCCACCUAUCGGAUACUGCCAUCCAUAGCCCGCAUCACUUGCACGCCUCUAUUACCCUUACUCCGGGAUGUACAUCUCAGCCAACAUGACUUGCGCACAAGCCUUUAGCAACAGCCAACCAUAUAUAGAAACAACUAGCCUUCUUGGCUCUGAUACCAAAUGUCACGGUGCCAGAAUCUCGGAGCCUUCGGCACGCGUGUGGCGCCUAGACUUUGCUCAUAGUCAAGGCCAGCCAUGCAUAUUCGAAGGGUCUUAACAUCCAUUCCGACUGUAGGCCUCAUCUAGCAAUGCCUAUCCAAGGGUCUCGCACUACCGUAUAUGGGCUCAAUGCCUUCGGGCAUCCCGGGCGGCAUAGUCCGGCCUAUACCGUAACCUCUAGCGCAGGAGAUACGCGCGCUAUAGGCCCUCGGCCCUAUAGUGUCCAUAGAGCUCCUUCCCUAUGGAGACAUCAGUCUCUCUCGUUAGACCUGAUGCCCGCACCUAGCUCACUAGGGCCGGGUCCCGCAUCCCGACCCUGGGGCGGCGGAGAGCAUUACGCCGGGUCUCCCCUCUCAUAUUCUCGGUCCAUACGCCACCCAACAUGCUAUUCUUGUCUCCAAUAGCCUUACUUUGUCCAUAGGGUUGCCAUGGUGCGGAGCCAUGGGUAGGGAUGCUGGACUCACACCCCUACA
rnacentral:lncRNA from 1 species